AUUGCCCAGGAGGAGGAGGAGGACAGCGCUCGCAGUUAACGACGACGCUCUUUGCCCACAGUUAGUCAUGCACGCUCCGGUGAGACAUCCAGAAAAGACGUGUUCUUACAGCCGCUGUGAGACCUAACAGCCAAACAUCUUGGGCCUCAGACCAGGAAAUCGAUGUCACAAUCAAGAGACGGCUACAUCUGGCUCCUAAUCGGGAUGGUGACAGGAAGGAGAGCAUGAGAAGAAAAGAGGGCAUGAGGAGCGCAACAAUUUGAUGCAUAGAAAAAUGCCGUUCAAGAGUAAGCUGCAUCCAAAUUUGGACUUUGUGUUCACUGUUAAAUAAAGAAAAGUGCAUUCUUCCAGUGAA